rnacentral:misc_RNA from 1 species
ACUUACUAGUCUGUCCAGAAAUCUGCUAGUCAGGCAGACAAAUUGGAGUUAAGUGGCAUCACAACGCAUUGUGCUUAUAAUAUAAAGCCAAUAAAUUAAAAGAUACAGUUGCACAAUAGAGAAAUAAUGUAGUAAACAAGUUCCAGACGAUGAACAAUAAUAAUAAUAAUAAUAAACGAGAAAGCCCAUGUUAUAUCUGCAAGCAUCAGAUUUUUACUCUUUUGAGCGACUACUAGUCACAAAAUUGAUGUUUACCAAGCAGGCUGGUCCAUUUUCACAUUUUUAAACUACGAACUGCAAUAACAAGCUACUGGUUACUCCUUUGUUACAGUUCAAACAGCUAAUUGACUGAUCAAGUUGACAAGUCAGCUUACAGAAGUGUUUUGAAUGAUUCUCAAACAUCAAGGCCUUCAUUGGGCAAUUUCAAGUUUUCCACCACAACUAACAGUAGCAUUGAAAAGAUGCAUCUAGAAAAGGAACACAAUUUGUUUAUCAGAUGCUGAUGCAGAACUUUUCCUGCACUGGGAAAAGAAAAUUCCACAGUGCUCACCUCAUAUUUCUAUUCAUGAUAUAUAUAUAUUGCAAAACAACACAGAUUUGCUUGAAAGUUCCAUUGUAACAUAAUAAAAGAAAAACGUAAAAGGCAAGAAAUAAAACAAAUUUAAGUUGUCUGGCAGCACCUUUUGGAGUUGAGAAUCAUGAUC